UUGUAUAACGGAUUGCCAGCCAUCAUGCAGGCUGUGCUUUAAAUAUCCGCUGAUUUAUUUUGGAAGUUUGACAGAUGGUGGUUUAAUAAUUCCAGAUAACACCGAAUAAACGGGUAGGCACUGCCUGAAGAUCCUGUAUUUAGUUAGUUCUGAUCGAUCUUUUGGACUAUGGAACUUGAUCGGGGACUGUUGGUGGCUCACUGCGCAACCCACACACCCUGUCAGUCCUGUUCGGGUUGAUGGUGGUUGUCCCGCUUGCGCUCAACGGCUCAGUUUGUGCGCAUUUCACCACGGGUUCAUGGAGGACGGAGAAUUGAACCGAAGUUACUUGGGAACCGGGUGAGAUUUCACACUUGGUGGUACAACAAUGGGGCCCACCGGCUGCUAGCCAGUUCGCUACUUUUGUCGGGUUUUCACGGUGAUGUACGGCGCAGUUCAGGGCUGGCGAAGCAUCAUCUAUCUCCAGGGACGGCAUGACAAGUGAAUGCACUUUACAUGGGCUUUGAAAUAGUUCAUCAAUAGCACAUAAACACCUUGUUCUCUGCCUUCCUGACCCUGAGCCUGUAUCUGGAGGGGUCAUUGUCACCCUCUCCCUUAGGCUGGCCUCCUGGUGCAACACUGUCACUGAUGACAACACUAGAACCUACAGGUCAUGUUUAUACACUGAGGCCUACAUAUCAACAGGAAAUACUUUAGGGUAUUGUCAUGUCAUUUGGUCAGGAAAAACUCUGGUCCCUAGUACUGUGCAUCGACCAUCAAGAAAAACUCUGGGCCCUAGUACUGUGCAUGGACCAUCAGGAAAAACUCUGGUCCCAAGUACUGUGCAUCGGUCAUCAGGAAAAACUCUGGCCCUACUACUGUGCAAGGACCAUCAAUGAAAAACUCUGGGCCCUAGUACUGUGCAUGGACCAUCAAGGGAAAACUCUGGGCCCUAGUAGCAUGAAUGGACCACCAGGGAAAACUCUGGGCCCUAGUACUGUGUAUUGACCGCUGUGCAGAAUCCCAGUCCGUCCCCAUGUACCUGGAUGUAGAGACGUCGUCCUUUUACACUGAGCUCCCCCUGGCAGAGGUAUGUAGUCUGCCAUAGCUGGCCCAUCUCAUGCCAGUGGACUUUCCCCACUCAAAAUAUACAUCUUCUGCAUUGCCUUGACAUCAGCGGUGGAAAAACUAUCCAAUUGUCAUAUUUGAGUAAAAGUAAAGAUACCUUAAUAGAAAAUGACUCAAGUAAAAGUGAAUGUGAAAGUCAGUAAAAGUCUAAAACUAUUCGGUUUUAAAUAUACUAAAGUAUCAAAAGUAAAUGUAAUUGAAAGUAAAAGUAAUUCCUUUAUUAAGCAAUCCAGACAUCACCAUUUUCUUGUAUUUUUAAUUGACUGAUAGCCAGGGGCACACUCAUUUACAAACAAAGCAUUUGUGUUUAGUGAGUCCACUAGAUCAGAGGCAGUAGGGAG